rnacentral:rRNA from 1 species
UACGAAGGGGGCUAGCGUUGUUCGGAAUCACUGGGCGUAAAGCGCACGUAGGCGGAUCUUUAAGUCAGGGGUGAAAUCCCGAGGCUCAACCUCGGAACUGCCUUUGAUACUGGGGAUCUCGAGUCCGGGAGAGGUGAGUGGAACUGCGAGUGUAGAGGUGAAAUUCGUAGAUAUUCGCAAGAACACCAGUGGCGAAGGCGGCUCACUGGCCCGGUACUGACGCUGAGGUGCGAAAGCGUGGGGAGCAACAGG